UAGAGUUUGAUCAUGGCUCAGAAUGAACGCUGGCGGCGUGCUUAACACAUGCAAGUCGAACGAGAAAGUCUUUGCUUGCAAAGACGAGUAGAGUGGCGCACGGGUGAGUAACACGUAGAUAAUCUACCUUCAAACCUGGAAUAACUAUUCGAAAGGGUAGCUAAUACCGGAUAAAGUAUUUUAACAUAAGUUAAAUUAUGAAAGAUUGCCUCUUCUUGAAAGCAAUUGUUUGGGGAUGAGUCUGCGGACCAUUAGUUAGUUGGUGGGGUAAAGGCCUACCAAGACUGCGAUGGUUAGCUGGUCUGAGAGGAUGAUCAGUCACACUGGAACUGGAACACGGUCCAGACUCCUACGGGAGGCAGCAGUGAGGAAUUUUGCGCAAUGGGGGAAACCCUGACGCAGCAACGCCGCGUGAGUGAAGAAGGCCUUUGGGUCGUAAAGCUCUGUCAACUGGGAA
rnacentral:rRNA from 1 species